rnacentral:rRNA from 1 species
UUGGUUGUCGUCAGCUCGUGUCGUGAGAUGUUGGGUUAAGUCCCGCAACGAGCGCAACCCACGUUUAGUUGCUAACGCGUGAAGGCGAGCACUCUAGACGAACUGCCGUUGACAAAAACGGAGGAAGGUGGGAUGACGUCAAAUCAUCAUGCCCUUAUGUUCUGGGCUACACACGUGCUACAAUGGCCGGUACAGACGGACGCAAAGCCGCGAGGUGGAGCAAAUCCUAAAAAGCCGGUCUCAGUUCGGAUUGCAGGCUGCAAUUCGCCUGCAUGAAGUCGGAAUCGCUAGUAAUCGCAGGUCCAGCAUACUCGCGGUCGAAUACGUUCCGGGCCUU